AUUGAACGCUGGCGGCAGGCCUAACACAUGCAAGUCGAACGAGUGGCGGACGGGUGAGUAAUGACUGGGAAACUGCCUGAGGGAUGGGGAUAACUACUGGAAACUGUAGCUAAUAACGUAUACCAUCAGAUGUGCCCAGAUGGGAUUAGCUAGUUGGGGGGGUAAAGGCCCACCAAGGCGACGACCUCUAGCUGGUCUGAGAGGAUGACCAGCCACACUGGAACUGAGACACGGUCCAGACUCCUACGGGAGGCAGCAGGGGGGAAUAUUGCACAAUGGGAGCAAGCCUGAUGCAGCCAUGCCGCGUGUAUGAAGAAGGCCUUCGGGUUGGAAAGUACUUUCAGCGGGGAGGCGUUACCCGCAGAAGAAGCACCGGCUAACUCCGUGCCAGCAGCCGCGGUAAUUC
rnacentral:rRNA from 1 species